rnacentral:lncRNA from 1 species
ACAUCUAUAAAUAAAGAACACACGCUUGGUUUCUAAAAUACACUAUCUAACUUAAUUACCAUAAUUCUUCUGGUAUCAGAGCUCCCUACGAAUACCGACUCAACCAACAAUUCCACUUUUGCUACAACCUUAUCGUCAGUAGAGACAUCAUCGUCGCAUAAAACCCCUGCUGGCGAUGACAAGUUAGUAAGGAUAAAGCAUCUACAAACGAUAACCCUGGACAGAGAGAAUUUUCAAGUAUAGAGAACACAGUUUACAACCUUACUCCGCAACAAUAUGCUCAACUAGGAUUGGACAUGGGUCGACUUUCCGGACCCGAGUUUUCAAAUCGGGUUUGGGUUCAGGGAAAAGUCAAAAAAUAUUGAACCGGACCUGGUUUUGAUGUCGGGUUCAGGUCCGGAUUCGGGUUUAAUAAAUUGAUUGAAUAUUUUAUAUAAAAACCUUGUUGUUUAAAUAAUAUUUAAAUUUUAUAAAAAUUAAAUAAAAUGGUUUGUAAAGAUAGAGAGGGUUUGUGAAGAUGGAGAGAUCCGACGACGUCGAGGAGAGGGUCGGCGACGGCGAAGAGGAAAAAUGAAAGUGGAAGAGGAGAGGGAAUUGAAAUUAAUGUUUAAAUUUUAAUAUAUGGAAUUAACUAGUUAAGGUU